AGCGUACACGGUGGAUGCCCUGGCAGUCAGAGGCGAUGAAGGACGUGCUAAUCUGCGAUAAGCGUCGGUAAGGUGAUAUGAACCGUUAUAACCGGCGAUUUCCGAAUGGGGAAACCCAGUGUGAUUCGUCACACUAUCAUUAACUGAAUCCAUAGGUUAAUGAGGCGAACCGGGGGAACUGAAACAUCUAAGUACCCCGAGGAAAAGAAAUCAACCGAGAUUCCCCCAGUAGCGGCGAGCGAACGGGGAGCAGCCCAGAGCCUGAAUCAGUGUGUGUGUUAGUGGAAGCGUCUGGAAAGGCGCGCGAUACAGGGUGACAGCCCCGUACACAAAAAUGCACAUGCUGUGAGCUCGAUGAGUAGGGCGGGACACGUGGUAUCCUGUCUGAAUAUGGGGGGACCAUCCUCCAAGGCUAAAUACUCCUGACUGACCGAUAGUGAACCAGUACCGUGAGGGAAAGGCGAAAAGAACCCCGGCGAGGGGAGUGAAAAAGAACCUGAAACCGUGUACGUACAAGCAGUGGGAGCACGCUUAGGCGUGUGACUGCGUACCUUUUGUAUAAUGGGUCAGCGACUUAUAUUCUGUAGCAAGGUUAACCGAAUAGGGGAGCCGAAGGGAAACCGAGUCUUAACUGGGCGUUAAGUUGCAGGGUAUAGACCCGAAACCCGGUGAUCUAGCCAUGGGCAGGUUGAAGGUUGGGUAACACUAACUGGAGGACCGAACCGACUAAUGUUGAAAAAUUAGCGGAUGACUUGUGGCUGGGGGUGAAAGGCCAAUCAAACCGGGAGAUAGCUGGUUCUCCCCGAAAGCUAUUUAGGUAGCGCCUCGUGAAUUCAUCUCCGGGGGUAGAGCACUGUUUCGGCAAGGGGGUCAUCCCGACUUACCAACCCGAUGCAAACUGCGAAUACCGGAGAAUGUUAUCACGGGAGACACACGGCGGGUGCUAACGUCCGUCGUGAAGAGGGAAACAACCCAGACCGCCAGCUAAGGUCCCAAAGUCAUGGUUAAGUGGGAAACGAUGUGGGAAGGCCCAGACAGCCAGGAUGUUGGCUUAGAAGCAGCCAUCAUUUAAAGAAAGCGUAAUAGCUCACUGGUCGAGUCGGCCUGCGCGGAAGAUGUAACGGGGCUAAACCAUGCACCGAAGCUGCGGCAGCGACACUAUGUGUUGUUGGGUAGGGGAGCGUUCUGUAAGCCUGUGAAGGUGUACUGUGAGGUAUGCUGGAGGUAUCAGAAGUGCGAAUGCUGACAUAAGUAACGAUAAAGCGGGUGAAAAGCCCGCUCGCCGGAAGACCAAGGGUUCCUGUCCAACGUUAAUCGGGGCAGGGUGAGUCGACCCCUAAGGCGAGGCCGAAAGGCGUAGUCGAUGGGAAACAGGUUAAUAUUCCUGUACUUGGUGUUACUGCGAAGGGGGGACGGAGAAGGCUAUGUUGGCCGGGCGACGGUUGUCCCGGUUUAAGCGUGUAGGCUGGUUUUCCAGGCAAAUCCGGAAAAUCAAGGCUGAGGCGUGAUGACGAGGCACUACGGUGCUGAAGCAACAAAUGCCCUGCUUCCAGGAAAAGCCUCUAAGCAUCAGGUAACAUCAAAUCGUACCCCAAACCGACACAGGUGGUCAGGUAGAGAAUACCAAGGCGCUUGAGAGAACUCGGGUGAAGGAACUAGGCAAAAUGGUGCCGUAACUUCGGGAGAAGGCACGCUGAUAUGUAGGUGAAGUCCCUCGCGGAUGGAGCUGAAAUCAGUCGAAGAUACCAGCUGGCUGCAACUGUUUAUUAAAAACACAGCACUGUGCAAACACGAAAGUGGACGUAUACGGUGUGACGCCUGCCCGGUGCCGGAAGGUUAAUUGAUGGGGUCAGCGCAAGCGAAGCUCUUGAUCGAAGCCCCGGUAAACGGCGGCCGUAACUAUAACGGUCCUAAGGUAGCGAAAUUCCUUGUCGGGUAAGUUCCGACCUGCACGAAUGGCGUAAUGAUGGCCAGGCUGUCUCCACCCGAGACUCAGUGAAAUUGAACUCGCUGUGAAGAUGCAGUGUACCCGCGGCAAGACGGAAAGACCCCGUGAACCUUUACUAUAGCUUGACACUGAACAUUGAGCCUUGAUGUGUAGGAUAGGUGGGAGGCUUUGAAGUGUGGACGCCAGUCUGCAUGGAGCCGACCUUGAAAUACCACCCUUUAAUGUUUGAUGUUCUAACGUGGACCCGUAAUCCGGGUUGCGGACAGUGUCUGGUGGGUAGUUUGACUGGGGCGGUCUCCUCCUAAAGAGUAACGGAGGAGCACGAAGGUUGGCUAAUCCUGGUCGGACAUCAGGAGGUUAGUGCAAUGGCAUAAGCCAGCUUGACUGCGAGCGUGACGGCGCGAGCAGGUGCGAAAGCAGGUCAUAGUGAUCCGGUGGUUCUGAAUGGAAGGGCCAUCGCUCAACGGAUAAAAGGUACUCCGGGGAUAACAGGCUGAUACCGCCCAAGAGUUCAUAUCGACGGCGGUGUUUGGCACCUCGAUGUCGGCUCAUCACAUCCUGGGGCUGAAGUAGGUCCCAAGGGUAUGGCUGUUCGCCAUUUAAAGUGGUACGCGAGCUGGGUUUAGAACGUCGUGAGACAGUUCGGUCCCUAUCUGCCGUGGGCGCUGGAGAACUGAGGGGGGCUGCUCCUAGUACGAGAGGACCGGAGUGGACGCAUCACUGGUGUUCGGGUUGUCAUGCCAAUGGCACUGCCCGGUAGCUAAAUGCGGAAGAGAUAAGUGCUGAAAGCAUCUAAGCACGAAACUUGCCCCGAGAUGAGUUCUCCCUGACUCCUUGA
rnacentral:rRNA from 2 species